UACGUAGGCAGCAAGCGUUGUUCGGAAUUACUGGGCGUAAAGAGUGUGUAGGCGGUGCUCUAAGUUUGUCGUGAAAUCUCCCGGCUUAACUGGGAGGGUGCGGCGAAAACUGGAGUGCUAGGGGGUGGGAGAGGAAAGCGGAAUUCCUGGUGUAGCGGUGAAAUGCGUAGAUAUCAGGAGGAACACCUGCGGUGUAGACAGCUUUCUGGACCACUUCUGACGCUGAGACACGAAAGCGUGGGUAGCAAACAGG
rnacentral:rRNA from 1 species